rnacentral:rRNA from 1 species
GACGAACGCUGGCGGCGUGCUUAACACAUGCAAGUCGAACGGAAAGGCCCUGCUUGCAGGGUACUCGAGUGGCGAACGGGUGAGUAACACGUGGGUGAUCUGCCCUGCACUUCGGGAUAAGCCUGGGAAACUGGGUCUAAUACCGGAUAGGAGCCAUUUUUAGUGUGAUGGUUGGAAAGUUUUUUCGGUGUAGGAUGAGCUCGCGGCCUAUCAGCUUGUUGGUGGGGUAAUGGCCUACCAAGGCGGCGACGGGUAGCCGGCCUGAGAGGGUGGACGGCCACAUUGGGACUGAGAUACGGCCCAGACUCCUACGGGAGGCAGCGGUGGGGAAUAUUGCACAAUGGGCGCAAGCCUGAUGCAGCGACGCCGCGUGGGGGAUGACGGCCUUCGGGUUGUAAACUCCUUUCGCUAGGGACGAAGCUUUUUGUGACGGUACCUAGAUAAGAAGCACCGGCUAACUACGUG